rnacentral:rRNA from 1 species
GAUGAACGCUAGCGGGAGGCUUAAUACAUGCAAGUCGAGCGGUAGUCCCCCUCGGGGGAUGAGAGCGGCGCACGGGUGAGUAACACGUACAUGACCUACCUGUCAGAAGGGGAUAGCCCUGGGAAACUGGGAUUAAUACCCUAUGGUAUUACGAAUGUAAAGGUUUGUAAUUAAAGCUGAGGUGCUGACAGAUGGAUGUGCGUCUGAUUAGCUAGUUGGUGGGGUAAAGGCCUACCAAGGCGACGAUCAGUAGGGGGCGUGAGAGCGUGAACCCCCACACGGGUACUGAGACACGGACCCGACUCCUACGGGAGGCAGCAGUAAGGAAUAUUGGUCAAUGCCCGACAGGGUGAACCAGCCAUUCCGCGUGGAGGAUGAAGGCCCUAUGGGUUGUAAACUUCUUUUAGAUGGGAAUAAAAUGCCCCGUGAGCGGGGUACUGAAGGUACCAUCAGAAUAAGCACCGGCUAACUCCGUGCCAGCAGCCGCGGUAAUACGGAGGGUGCGAGCGUUAUCCGGAAUUACUGGGUUUAAAGGGUGCGUAGGCGGAUAAUUAAGUCUAAGGUGAAAGUUUGUUGCUUAACAAUAAGACUGCCUUGGAUACUGGAUAUCUUGAAUUAGGUUGAGGAUAGCGGAAUGUGGCAUGUAGCGGUGAAAUGCAUAGAUAUGCCAUAGAACACCAAUUGCAAAGGCAGCUAUCUGGGCCUUGAUUGACGCUGAGGCACGAAAGCAUGGGGAUCGAACAGGAUUAGAUACCCUGGUAGUCCAUGCCCUAAACGAUGCUAACUCGAUGUUUGGGAAUAAACUUGAGCAUUAAAGCGAAAGCGAUAAGUUAGCCACCUGGGGAGUACGACCGCAAGGUUGAAACUCAAAGGAAUUGACGGG